rnacentral:tRNA from 1 species
AGAGCAGGGGAUUGAAAAUCCCCGUGUCGGUGGUUCGAUUCCGCCUCGAGGCACCACUAUUCCUCCUUAGUUCAGU